rnacentral:rRNA from 1 species
AUUGAACGCUGGCGGCAGGCCUAACACAUGCAAGUCGAGCGGAUGAAGGGAGCUUGCUCCUGGAUUCAGCGGCGGACGGGUGAGUAAUGCCUAGGAAUCUGCCUGGUAGUGGGGGAUAACGUCCGGAAACGGGCGCUAAUACCGCAUACGUCCUGAGGGAGAAAGUGGGGGAUCUUCGGACCUCACGCUAUCAGAUGAGCCUAGGUCUGAUUAGCUAGUUGGUGGGGUAAAGGCCUACCAAGGCGACGAUCCGUAACUGGUCUGAGAGGAUGAUCAGUCACACUGGAACUGAGACACGGUCCAGACUCCUACGGGAGGCAGCAGUGUGGAAUAUUAGACAAUGGGCGAAAGCCUGAUCCAGCCAUGCCGCGUGUGUGAAGAAGGUCUUCGGAUUGUAAAGCACUUUAAGUUGGGAGGAAGGGCAGUAAGUUAAUACCUUGCUGUUUUGACGUUACCAACAGAAUAAGCACCGGCUAACUUCGUG